rnacentral:rRNA from 1 species
AUUGAACGCUGGCGGCAGGCCUAACACAUGCAAGUCGAGCGGGGACUUCGGUCCUAGCGGCGAACGGGUGAGUAAUGCUUGGGAAUCUGCCCAGUAGUGGGGGAUAACGUCCCGAAAGGGACGCUAAUACCGCAUACGUCCUACGGGAGAAAGAGGGGGAUCUUCGGACCUCUCGCUAUUGGAUGAGCCCAAGUCGGAUUAGCUAGUUGGUAGGGUAAUGGCCUACCAAGGCGACGAUCCGUAGCUGGUCUGAGAGGAUGAUCAGCCACACUGGAACUGAGACACGGUCCAGACUCCUACGGGAGGCAGCAGUGGGGAAUAUUGGACAAUGGGCGAAAGCCUGAUCCAGCCAUGCCGCGUGUGUGAAGAAGGCCUUCGGGUUGUAAAGCACUUUAAGCGGGGAGGAAGGUUCGCGGCCUAAUACGUCGCGGAAUUGACGUUACCCGCAGAAUAAGCACCGGCUAACUCUGUG